GCUGACCUGAGCAUAGAAACAGGAUUUGAGUAGAGAGCUCCAUGAGCUCCAUAGCCUGCUGUGGUGCCUCCAGGUUUCCUUCUGUCUAAUAAGGACAUUUCAAGCAGACUUUUCGGGGAAGCUCAGCAUACUCCUCUGGAGAGCUACAAGGUAGAGCAGUGAUCCAAAGAGAACAGCUGUGCCCCAGCAGUGAGAGCUGUCCAUUGGAAGGGCUGUCAUUUGCAGCAGUAGGGUAGAGAAGCAAGAAUGACUUACAAAAGUUAAUAUCUCUGCCCAGGACACAGCAGGAACAAGCAAAGUUAAGAAACAGAAACUUUUAAAUUCAGAAAAUAUGGAAUUUAUACAUUCAGC